CGAAAGCCUGACGGAGCAAUGCCGCGUGGGGGAAGAAGGUUCUUGGAUUGUAAACCCCUUUUCUCAGGGAAGAAACCUGACGGUACCUGAGGAAAAAGCCUCGGCUAACUCCGUGCCAGCAGCCGCGGUAAUACGGAGGAGGCAAGCGUUAUCCGGAAUUACUGGGCGUAAAGCGUCCGUAGGGGGCUCGUCAAGUCUGCUGUCAAAGCUCGGAGCUCAACUCCGACCCGGCAGUGGAAACUGGGGAGCUAGAGGGCGGCAGGGGCAGAAGGCAUUCCCGGUGUAGCGGUGAAAUGCGUAGAUAUUGGGAAGAACACCGGUGGCGAAAGCGCUUUGCUGGACCGAACCUGACGCUGAGGGACGAAAGCUAGGGGAGCG
rnacentral:rRNA from 1 species